rnacentral:rRNA from 1 species
CUUCCAUCUGGAAGAAUCUGGAGGACAGGUGCUGCAUGGCUGUCGUCAGCUCGUGUCGGUGAGAUGUUGGGUUAAGUCCCGCAACGAGCGCAACCCUUGCCUUUAGUUGCCAGCAGUUCGGCUGGGCACUCUAAAGGGACUGCCGGUGUUAAACCGGAGGAAGGUGGGGAUGACGUCAAGUCCUCAUGGCCUUUAUGACCAGGGCUACACACGUACUACAAUGGCCGAUACAAAGGGCAGCGACACUGCGAGGUGAAGCCAAUCCCGUAAAAUCGGUCUCAGUCCGGAUUGGAGUCUGCAACUCGACUCCAUGAAGUUGGAAUCGCUAGUAAUCGUGGAUCAGCAUGCCACGGUGAAUACGUUCCCGGGCCUU